CGCCGCUGCAAUUUUUCAGAUCGAUUUGGCCGUAGAAGAAGACAUCCACAACUCAUAGAUCCCUCUCAUAUCUCUUUCGUCAAAUCAAAUCUGCCACGAGGGGCUUCAAUCCCAGCAAUUUCAGCCUUCUCUCAACGAAUGUAACAACUAUUAGAUUAUUUAAUCAACGUUUACACAACUUGAUAAGAAGGUAACAACUAUUAUAUUUUUUGGUUAAUUAUUAUCAAUUUGUUAUGUUUUAUGUAUUGGUUCAAUUAAGCUAAAGGGCUUUUUGGAUCUGGAUUUGUUUAUUUUAUUUUUGAGAAAGGAUAUUUUGAAUUUGGUUAAUGUUUUAUUGUUUUAUUGUUUAAAUAAUGUAGACAACUAUUUAUUCAUUAUUUUUUUAUUGUUUUUACGAUCUUAAUUUACUUUAGAAAACAUAAACUGAUAAAUAAUGAAUAAUGUCAUCGGAAAAACAACACAGUAAUAUAAAAACAACACAUUAAUUGGCAAUUUGUGGAUAAAUAAUGGACUUUCUUGUUCAUUUUUUAGUGGACUUCUGUUUUUAUUAUUGUUCUUCUGGACAUUAAACCAAAACAUAAAUCUUAUAUGUUUGUGUUAUUGUUCUUCUGUUGCAUUGUAUAGUGGACUUCGUUAAUUUCAUAGUCGAUUUCGAUAAAUUUAUAGUGGAUUUUGAUAAUUAUAUACAAAGUGGUUUUCGAUGAAUUUGUAGUGAAUUUUGAUAAGUAUAUAAAGUGGUUUUCGUGUUUAUAUAGCUAUUUAUACAUAGUGGUUUUCAUGUUUAUAUAGUUAUUUAUGCAUAGUGGUUUUCAUUGUUGUUCCCUGAUUCAUUUUUUGUUUCAACAAAUCGAUGCAAUAUUAGUAGGUUGAAAAAUUUUUGUUUAUGAAAGUUUUCAAAAUUACCAAGAUGGUGUGACACCAAGGUUUUAUUUGGAAAAUGGUUUUCAUUUGCUAAUUAAUUUUUUUUCUUAUUCAGAUUGAUUUAGUGACCUUCGUCGGCUUUGUUGGUGGUGGUGUACUGGUCUUGCACUUCUUACUGGACAUAGUAGUGGUUUACGUUUCAAAUAGUGAAUUUUCGAAUAGUGAAUUUACAUUUUUUUUUGUUUGGUAGUUUUGUGUUGUGU
rnacentral:lncRNA from 1 species